AGUUAGCUAAACAGCUAUUUGUUUGCUAUGUACUGCUCUCUUACUUGCCAGCUAUCGUAUUUUGAGAUAUUAAACACUUAAGUACCCUUAUUUAUAUUGCUUGAUACGAUUCGACCUUCAGAAACAGACGAACCAUAAACGAAUAAUUUAUUUUGAGCAAAUUAUUUGGGUGCAUUUGGCUAUUUGACGUGUCAUUGAAAUGUUCAAGAACAAUUACCAGGGGGGAGCUGUGUUUGAUCUCUUCAGUGGACAAGGAAAGGACCCUGUAGCCAAAUGGAAGCUUUGUGGGGGACCUUCGGCUAUACAUAAAGAGUAUAAUAAAGAAGUUAAAGGAUUUGUUUACUGUCUCGAGGGGAGCAGCCACACUGUCAAAAUGCAAAUGCCGAAGAAUGCUAAGAUGUCUCUUGGGCUUAUUCAACGAUUUUUGAUCGUUCAAGUAAAUAUUUCAGAGCGGCAUGACUUUUCUACUGAGCUUGUGAUAACGGAUUUACAGCAUCUUAAAAGAAGACUUUGCUUUUCAACAGUGCAUAAAGAGAUGUCUGCCACACUUUUGCACGCAAAGAUACCUUUCACAGAGCUGAAGCGGAAUACUUGGUCUACUUUGUGCAUCGACCUCGAAUCUUUCGCUAGUGGACUUUUCAAGGGAUUUUUGACUCUGGAUGGCAUCACUUUGUUUGCUACCUGUAAAGUUCGGAGGAUCUUCACUAUGAAAACAGACCCUAAAAUCAUGUCAGACACAUUUCUUAAUGGGGCUUGUCUCAUGGAGAUGAUCCCUCGCAGUUUCUGGUACCCUUCAGAUGUGAACCAAAUUACUCACGUGCUGAACUAUGAGAAUUUGCAGAAGGCCGAAGUGAAGUCUGAUCCUCUUAGCUCAGCCUCUGUACCUGAUCAGUCUUCCACUGCCAUAUCAACUAGUUAUCGGAGAACCAAGCCCCAGGGUGUUUUACAGACAGCCGCGGGCUCCAGAGCUUCUUCAGCAUCUCCAAAUACUGGAAGAACAAGCAUUGCAAACUUGGACAGAAUGGAGAGAAGUGUUUCUCCAUCAUGUAGACUGAAUCAAAAGGAGCCCACUGAGAGCCAGCAUGUCACCAUGCUUGGUGAGCAUUUCUCCCAGGGUCAACAGUCCCUUACUACAGUAAAAGGAGAAUCUUGCAAAUUACAACCCCACCCGCCCAAACAAAGGGUGUUUGGUAAGCAGGGAUCUAAGAAGUUACGGAUCCUGAGUUCUGGAAGAGAGAGGGUAUCAUCAGAUGCUGAAUUUGGUAGUAAAAGCAGUGGAAGGAGGGAUAAUAGCCCUUUUCCAUCCAGUCACACAGAGAGCAGCCAGCAGCUUCAGACUCAAGAACAAAAGUCAUCCAACCUAGUAAUGGAUGAGCAGAGCUGCAGCCCCGCCAAUGCAAGUAUGGAAGCCACCCCCACACCAGUGGAGACUCAACUUCGAUCAGGUUUGUCUUUUGACCCGGAGGUCUGGAACAGCCGGGAGAGUAAUGAGGGGUCCGAGCCCCAGCUCACUUUGCAGAAGGAGGUGUUCACUUUCUCAUCCCAGCCUCACUCACCCAAGCGAGGGCAAAGCCAGGUUGACCAGGAGAAGAUGGAUCUGGGAGACGGUCAGGCCCAGAGCACUGGUGGGGGGCGGCGGCAAGCGCAGCCUGAAGACGACUUUAUCGGCAGUGAAAGCGAUGAGGAUGUGAGCUACAUCAAGUUCCACCAUCAAAGUGUGUCUUAUCCUUCUACUCCAAGAUCUGCUGAUACAAGCCAGCAUGUGCAGCUAGAGAAUCCUCUAGCUUCUGAAUCUCCGAGAACAAACCCAGCAUCACCAAGACAAGAUUUAACUAACACCUGCAUGCAGUAUCCAUGCAGCGGAAGAGCUGAACCAGCGAGGAUGGUCCCUGCACGUUGCCACUCACCCAGCAGAAGCAGGCACAAGUCUGGAAAGGCAGAUCAGGUUUUGGGUUCAAAUAUCAGCGUUUCACUUUGUAGGAGCCUUCUCCAAGAGGUUCACUUCAAUGACUCCAAACAGCAUAAGGGAGAAGAAAAUGAGAUUCUGAGGACUGUUGAGUCGAGUAAUUAUGCCUCACAACUGCAAGCCAGCACAAGGAUGUGUGAAGACGAUGACGAGGAACUCCAAAUGCUGGCAAGCCUGAAAAGACAGCAGGACGAAGACGAAUGUAGGGCUCCUGCCCUCAGCGCAUCUCAAGUCCACCAGUGUGAUGUCAGCAUCAGCCUGAGCAGCGACGACGCCUCAACCUGGACCCACAUCUCACAAAGAAUGGUCCAAAUAAGAGGAAACAACCAGAGAGCAGCAGUGUCAGUGCAUCAAAACUUGAAGCAGAUGGCCUACAGCAGCACAAGGCCACACAGCAGGGUAAUGUCACAAAGCUCAAGUAAUCUCAAAUCGGUUUCUUGACUGUGACAAUAAGUUCACUGUACUCCAGUGGCCGCCACAGUUGCUUGAGCUCAUCUAACAGAGAACCUCAGGAAUCUGGUGGAGAGAUUUGCAUCAUGGAUGUGUAGCUGACCACUCUGCAGCAACGGCAGUGAAUCAGGGACAUCAUUAUCAGAAGGAAAUGAACCCCUUGCUUCAAUCAAACCCAAGG